rnacentral:piRNA from 1 species
UUUGAACGGGAAACUGUGAAA